GACGAACGCUGGCGGCGCGCCUAACACAUGCAAGUCGAGCGAUGAAAUUUUAACCGAUCUCUUCGGAGAGAAGAUAAAAUGGAUUAGCGGCGGACGGGUGAGUAACACGUGAGAAACCUGCCUUUCACAAGGGGAUAGCCUCGGGAAACCGGGAUUAAUACCCUAUGACACAUUUCCUUCGCAUGGAAGAAAUGUUAAAACUCCGGUGGUGAAAGAUGGUCUCGCGCCUGAUUAGCUAGUUGGUGGGGUAACGGCCCACCAAGGCCAUGAUCAGUAACCGGCCUGAGAGUGUGAACGGUCACAUUGGAACUGAGACACGGUCCAAACUCCUACGGGAGGCAGCAGUGGGGAAUAUUGCACAAUGGAGGAAACUCUGAUGCAGCGACGCCGCGUGAGCGAUGAAGGCUUUCGAGUCGUAAAGCUCUGUCCUAUGGGAAGAUAAUGACGGUACCAUAGGAGGAAGCCCCGGCUAACUACGUG
rnacentral:rRNA from 1 species